rnacentral:rRNA from 1 species
GUCGAGCGAACAGAUGAGGAGCUUGCUCCUUUGACGUUAGCGGCGGACGGGUGAGUAACACGUGGGUAACCUACCUAUAAGACUGGAAUAACUCCGGGAAACCGGGGCUAAUGCCGGAUAACAUGUUGAACCGCAUGGUUCUACAGUGAAAGGCGGCUUUGCUGUCACUUAUAGAUGGACCCGCGCCGUAUUAGCUAGUUGGUGAGGUAACGGCUCACCAAGGCAACGAUACGUAGCCGACCUGAGAGGGUGAUCGGCCACACUGGAACUGAGACACGGUCCAGACUCCUACGGGAGGCAGCAGUAGGGAAUCUUCCGCAAUGGGCGAAAGCCUGACGGAGCAACGCCGCGUGAGUGAUGAAGGUCUUCGGAUCGUAAAACUCUGUUAUUAGGGAAGAACAAAUGCGUAAGUAACUGUGCGCGUCUUGACGGUACCUAAUCAGAAAGCCACGGCUAACUACGUGCCAGCAGCCGCGGUAAUACGUAGGUGGCAAGCGUUAUCCGGAAUUAUUGGGCGUAAAGCGCGCGUAGGCGGUUUUUUAAGUCUGAUGUGAAAGCCCACGGCUCAACCGUGGAGGGUCAUUGGAAACUGAAAAACU